GCCCUUUUCCCCUUCUGCCCUCUGCCAUGUGAGGUCACACCGUCCCCCCCUCCUGAGGAUGCACCAUUCAUGAAAGUAAAGACUGGGUCCUCACCAGGCAACAAACCUGCUGGUGCCUUCAUCUUGGACUUCUCAGCCUUCAGAACUAUGGAGUCUGCACUCUCCAGUUCAUCACCACCCCAGCAUCCCUACUCUUGCUUCUAACACUUUCCUCUAUUUUGUACCACAUGCCUGGCCCUUAUGGGCAACUCAAGGAAGAAAGGAAAGAAGAGAUAGAGGAAAAAAUGGACUCAACAAAUGAAAGUGUUCUUUCCGAUUAUUGCUAUGUAUGCAUUUUAAUCAUCAAAACAUGCUUUAUUUGAUAGAAGGAUCAAAUCUGCCUUUGUAAAACAAGAGCCUAUUUUAACCAUUAAGACAACACACACGUUUGAUUUGGAGGCAUGUUCUCAUUCAAAACCUUGCAAAAUAUAAUUUCUUCUUGUCUGGGA